rnacentral:rRNA from 1 species
CGCGUAGGCGGGCGGGAAAGUCUUUCGUGAAAUCCCACGGCUCAACCGUGGAAUUGCGGGAGAUACUACUCGUCUUGAGUUCGGGAGAGGAGUGUGGAAUUCCCAGUGUAGCGGUGAAAUGCGUAGAUAUUGGGAGGAACACCGGUGGCGAAGGCGGCACUCUGGACCGAUACUGACGCUGAGGCGCGAAAGCUAGGGGAGCAAACG